rnacentral:lncRNA from 1 species
UUAAAUUAGUGUGCUCGCCAAGGAAUGGAUCCUCGUGCCUACGUAUGCCCACUUGUUGAAGUGAGAAAUCAGAGCCUUCGUAGUUCAUGGUUUUAAAAUGUUUGGUUUGUUUUGUUGAUUUUAUUACCUUGAAGAAGGGUUUUCGAUUGUACUUCGUAGUUCAUGGUUUUAAAAUGUUUGGUUUGUUUUGUUGAUUUUAUUACCUUGAAGAAGGGUUUUCGAUUGUGUCGCCCUGAGGCUCAAACAAAAGGUUUGAAUGCAUUGAGUUGUUUUUAGGUUUUUGAAG